UUGUCCUACGGGACGCAGCAGUGGGGGAUAUUGCACAAUGGGGGAAACCCUGAUGCAGCGACGCUGCGUGAGUGAAGAAGUAUUUCGGUAUGUAAAGCUCUAUCAGCAGGGAAGAAAAAAGACGGUACCUGACUAAGAAGCCCCGGCUAACUACGUGCCAGAAGCCGCGGUAAUACGUAGGGGGCAAGCGUUAUCCGGAUUUACUGGGUGUAAAGGGAGCGUAGACGGCAAUACAAGUCGGAAGUGAAAUACCCGGGCUCA
rnacentral:rRNA from 1 species